AACUCUGAGCGGUGGAUCACUCGGCUCGUGUGUCGAUGAAGAACGUAAGGAACCAUGCUAAUUAUUGUAAAUUGCAAACUGAUAUGAACAUCAACAUCUUGAACACAUAUUGCGGCCAUGGGUUAGCCUGUGGCCACGCCUGUCCGAGGGUCG
rnacentral:rRNA from 1 species